GGAUCAAUAUGUUGGUCGUGCCUUGGUACGUACUGAUUUUAUUGGUUUCUCCCUUCUGACGAACCAUGAUGUCAUUAAUUUGGUGUCGUGGAGAAUCAGGACUGUUACUUUGAAAAAAUUAGAGUGUUUAAAGCAAGCUAACGCUUGAAUACAUUAGCAUGGAAUAAUAGAAUAGGACGUUUGAUCCUAUUUUGUUGGUUUCUAGGAUUGACGUA
rnacentral:rRNA from 1 species